GCAGUUAAUGGAAAACCCAAAUGAUGAGCCUGAGGAUUCAGACAGCUCGCUAACAGAUUCAAGUCCGAAAAGACUCUCUAUAGCUGAAGAGAGAGAAGACCAAACUACCUGCCAGUCAGAGAAAACCACGGUACUUGUGUUUUUACUGUUUUUACUGUAAAAUACGAUGUCAUAACUGCUUAUUACUCUCUGUAUGGCUGUCUUGGAUGCAAAUAACAGUAGAUGACACUUUCUGUCACGUCCAAACACAAACAAUGUUGAGCUCAUUAAUCUUAACAGCAAAUCAAAUAUUUACCUGCUUGAUGUGGCUUUCCAGGAAAACCUCCAGAGCACAUUGCAUGACCCGCAGCGUGUGUUCAAGGUGGUGUUUUUGGGGAACUCCGCUGUGGGAAAGAGCUCAUUCAUCCAUCAAUACUGCAGCGGCCACUUCCCCAAUAACUUGGCCUCAACUGUCGGAAUGGAUUUUCAGGUCAGGAGCGUGAUGCUUGAUUCAACACCAGUCGCUCUGCAGCUGUGGGACACCGCUGGGCAGGAGAGGUCAGAUGUCCCAAAAACGGUUUCAUAGAACCAACAGACCGAUUUACAUAAUCUACAAUGCAAGAUGAGGUCAUUAAAAGCAGCUGUAUGUAGUUUUGUGUAUUUCCGUGGCUUUAGAGCCCCCUAGAAGUAAAAGAGAGGAAUUCAUUAUUCAGUCAUAAUGACAGUGGAUAGCUGUAUCAGAGUCCCUUUCAAGGAAAGUCUGUUCACUCGACAGCCAUAUUUGCAACGCCUCCAGGCGCUUAUACAAGAAGUCCUAUCUAAAUGAAUGUUGUUUCUAAUGCUCAGAUAGCGUUUAAAAAGCUUAUUUUACAGACUAGACCAGCCAAUGAGCAUAAGCAGUCAUAACAUGCUUAUUUCUCCCAUCCAUAAGUUCAGGAGUGAACUGUCUUUGUAUUUUUAAAAGUGUGGAAUGUUGGGAACUUCAUGCACUCAAUUGUAGCAGCUUUAAUUAUGUUGCGAAGGGGGAGGGGCUAUCAGACUCAGAUUACUAAUGACAAAAUAGCCUUAGAAAAUACAUUCACUACAUGGUUGAGUGCAUAAGCACAUAGUGUAUAAGUAUAUAAUAGUGUAUAGUGCGUCACUUUGGACACAGUUUUAGUCUUUGGCCUUACACAAGCUUUUGUUGAUGUUGUACAACAAACCAACAUUUUCGUGGAAUUUCGUACCCGCUCACCAAACUUUACAUACUCCCAGUAUAGGCCUUUGGAAAAAAACUUCAGUGUACCAUUAGAAUGAUUUUAAAUGGAUGUUUCAAGGUUAAAAAGGAACCUACAGCUGCUUUAAAUCUCCAAAGAUCUCCUGUUUCGCCCCAUCAGGUUCCACAGCAUCACGCAGCAGUACUUUCGCAGGGCGGACGGAAUCAUCGCUAUGUAUGACCUCACGCAUGAGGCGUCAUUCACGGCUGUCUGCCAUUGGUUGGAUCAGGUGCAGGUCAGACUAAUUUGAUUAAAUAUUAAUUUUACCUUCUGCAAGAGGAAAUGUCUUCAGUAGUUCAAGGUGAAAGAAAAACAGUAAUCUGAACCCUGUAGGAAAAUCCAAAUCAGUAGUUAUUUAUGGUUUCUAGCUAGUCUACGCUGAAUGUUUAUGAUAAUCCAGAUUGGUUUAAAUGGUUGAUCAUUGUUAGCUGAUUUAGUUUCAACCUGCUUGAGCAUCUUUUUAAACUGGUUAUAGCUGUAGACCUCUUUGGACGAGAACUAAACUUUAACAUUAGGCUAUAUAAACCAGCUUGAAUGGCCUUUGUGUUAUUUUAAAUACCUGCCUAAAUACCUGUUCCUGUUUUUUCUUAAAUAUGGUUAAUAUAUGGUCAAUAUAUUUUUUAAUUUAUAUAUGAAUAUGUUUGUUUUUUUAAUUUUGCACAGUUUUAUAAAAUAAAACUUCAUAUAAUAAAAAAUAUUCUAUAUAUUGUAUAUCUUUUUGGGUAACAUAACAGAUCUGUGUGUGUGUGUGUGUGUGUGUGUGCUGUCAAACGAUUCAUCGUGAUUAAUCACAUCCAAAAUAAAAGUUUUAUUUACAUAAUAUGUGUGUGUACUGUGUAUAUUUAUUAUGUAUAUAAAAAAGCACACACAUACCAGUAUAUGUUUUUAAAAUAUUAACAUGUAUUUACAUGUGUAUAUAUAUAU
rnacentral:lncRNA from 1 species